rnacentral:lncRNA from 1 species
AAACGUGUUAGCCCUGAUGGUUUCUUCUUUCCCCUUCAGCUUGUGUUGUUGAUGAAGAAAGCAGCUGAAACACAGAGGAACCCCGAAUCCUGGAACUUGGACUUGUACAGAAUAGAUGGUAAAGGAAACAUUCAAUUUCAAAUGUGGUAGACCUUAUCUCUAUUUAUAGUAAUGACUAGCUCUUUCAAAAUUUAUUUUGAUCUUUUCUGAAUCUAUAUUCAGAAACUGCUCAAACACUUAGUCAUGCCUUUUAGUGUGAGUUUGAGCGAUUGCAGAAUGUCAAGAACUGUAAUUUCAUUUUGGCAUUUCAACUAAAUCCAAGCCAAUGCCAUUGCGCAUUCUGCUUGAUUAAGUUACGUGUAUAUUGUUUUAUAGGCUAGAGUCAUAAAAUCUUGACCAUGAUAUGAAGUUCACUUCCUGCCUAUGUUGUAUAAUGUGUUAGGCGUUAUUUAGACCCGUCGCUAGGGCUGAGGACCUAAUAAGUGUCGCGACUCUAGAUGGGGUUAGAACUUAAACGCUGCCAAUUUGGGGAAGCUAGAAGCACCAAUGACCGCCUAAUGACUGGGUUUGGCAUGAUAAAGGUGGGUGGGGAUUUCCUUUAAAUUCAUUCCUAUCUUCAACAACAACAAUUUAUAUCAAGUACUUGAGGGGUUCAGGGCGACAAUCUGAGUCAAAAAAUUUGUAUGUUCAUAGAUAUAUUGGUUAUGAUCGUCUAUAUUGCACAUGAAUGAAUUGUUGGUCUGAAAUUGUUGUUUUCUUGAACAAAUCAUUAAGAUGAAUUUUCUUUUUAGAUUAUAGUAUGCUGCUAACCUUAUUACAUUUUUUUUCUUCACAUUUCAUCUUUGUAGAUUAAAAUCAAAUAGAAUAUAGAAAGUUGAGGGUAAUUUUCUUAUUACAUCU